UACGUAGGGGGCAAGCGUUGUCCGGAUUUAUUGGGCGUAAAGAGCGUGUAGGCGGCCAUGCAGGUCCGUUGUGAAAACUCGAGGCUCAACCUCGAGACGUCGAUGGAAACCGCACGGCUAGAGUCCGGAAGAGGAGAGUGGAAUUCCUGGUGUAGCGGGUGAAAUGCGCAGAUAUCAGGAAGAACGACCCGUGGCGAAGGCGGCUCUCUGGGACGGUACUGACGCUGAGACGCGAA
rnacentral:rRNA from 1 species